rnacentral:rRNA from 1 species
UACGUAGGGGGCAAGCGUUGUCCGGAUUUAUUGGGCGUAAAGAGCGUGUAGGCGGCCGGGUAGGUCGGUUGUGAAAACUGGAGGCUCAACCUUCAGAGGUCGACCGAAACCAUCUGGCUAGAGUCCGGGAGAGGAGAGUGGAAUUCCUGGUGUAGCGGUGAAAUGCGCAGAUAUCAGGAAGAACACCCGUGGCGAAAGCGGCUCUCUGGAACGGUACUGACGCUGAGACGCGAAAGCGUGGGAGCGAACAGG